CUAUUGCACAGCGAGAGGGGGUGAGAAGCCCCGCCGGGGUUCGACAGCGCAGCGCGCUGGACAGCGGAGCCUGCGACGCGGCCCGCAGGGUGAGCACAGCGAAUCCAUCCCCCUCUCACCGCCA
rnacentral:sRNA from 1 species